CUUCACAAACAAGCAUAGAGAACACCACACAUUCCCUGGGCAAGUCUCCUCCGAUCAGUCAGAGCAGGUCAGAGACCCUCAGGUGUUCCCCAGUGUACCCAAUGUGAACGGCACUUGGACAUCUGUAUGAGCAGUAGGCGCUGUGAUGCAUGUAAAGAGAAAGUAGACACAGGGCUGGGAAAGGGAUUACUGUGCCCUUGCAUGCGCUGAAUCCCAGGACCCUACUAGGGACCACAGAGGAAUGAAGAGAUGACAGAUGCAUGGACGCAGUGCAAAGGACCCGAGGUCAGGAAGAUGGAACCAACCAUGGUAAUAUUUGGUCCUCCUGGUGGCUGUUAGCGUGAAGAAGAGCUGACCGCAAUCUUCAGCCUUUGCUCUCAUAUGUUGAAGCUCAACCAACUGGGAGCUUUACCAGUCCUACCAUGGCCCAUCAAAUGAGGCAGUUUUGUAAUUUUCUUUAACAAAAUUAUUAUAGACCCUAAUAUC